rnacentral:rRNA from 1 species
UACGUAGGGGGCAAGCGUUGUCCGGAUUUAUUGGGCGUAAAGAGCGUGUAGGCGGCCUGGAAGGUCAGCUGUGAAAACUCGAGGCUCAACCUCGAGACGUCGGUUGAAACCACCUGGCUAGGGUCCGGAAGAGGAGAGUGGAAUUCCCGGUGUAGCGGUGAAAUGCGCAGAUAUCGGGAAGAACACCCGUGGCGAAGGCGGCUCUCUGGGACGGUACUGACGCUGAGACGCGAAAGCGUGGGGAGCGAACAGG